ACAAGGAGCUGCAGAAACGCGCUUGGAGUUGCGAGCCGCGGGCAGGGGAUCACGAGACGGAAGCGUGGGUGUAGAGCAGGCGCCCACAAGCAGGAAGGACUAUGACGUGCGCAGAGCAAUGCUGGUCUAGUGGGAGGGUCACCCUGACGCCUCUAAGCCGGCCCCACUCAGAGGCCUGGUCCUCAGGCCCGGUUCCGACCUCACAGCAGGCGUCAAAAUCGGCCCCGCGAACUGCAAGAGAAACCACGCCUAGGUGUUCUUAAGGAUCGAGUGCAGAUGUACGUAGGUGACAGCUUUUUGACAACCCAAAAAGACGCGAUCUUUAAAAAGGAAAGAAAAAAAAAAAAACUGCAUGCAAAUGCUAGAGAUUCUUUGGCUGACAUUCGCAUCCAAACCCCCCACCUCUGGGUAAGACGUGGCCACCCAGCCCUCCGGAUGCCAGCGCCAGCCUUGGGCCCCACAGCACGUCCCGCUUUCCACCCCCAGGCCCUGCUGCUCCUGGCUCUGGCACAGCGGCCUGAGGGGACCAAUCCACUGCUCAGAAACACCCUGGAAUGUCACAGGGAUCUUAAGGGCUCUUUUGUUUCCGAACUCACCCCUGCUG